rnacentral:rRNA from 1 species
GUCCACGCCGUAAACGAUGUCUGCUAGCCGUUGGGUCGCUUGACGACUCAGUGGCGGAGCUAACGCGAUAAGCAGACCGCCUGGGGAGUACGGCCGCAAGGUUAAAACUCAAAUGAAUUGACGGGGGCCCGCACAAGCGGCGGAGUAUGUGGUUUAAUUCGACGCAACGCGAAAACCUUACCCGGUCUUGACAUCCUGGGAACCCUUUAGAGAUAGAGGGGUGCCGCAAGGAGCCCAGAGACAGGUGCUGCAUGGCUGUCGU